AAGCCAUGCAUGUCUAAGUAUAAACAAAUUUAUACAGUGAAACUGCGAAUGGCUCAUUAAAUCAGUUAUAAUUUAUUUGAUAUUCACUUACUACUUGGAUAACCGUGGUAAUUCUAGAGCUAAUACAUGCGUACAUAACCUCGACUUCUGGAAGAGGUGCACUUAUUAGAUAAAAAGCCAACGCGGGCAACCGCUUGUAUGGUGAUUCAUAAUAAUUAAGCGAAUCGCAUGGCCUUGUGCCGGCGAUGAUGCAUUCAAAUUUCUGCCCUAUCAAGUUUCGAUGGUAGGUUAGUGGCCUACCAUGCUUUUAACGGGUAACGGGGAAUUAGGGUUCGAUUCCGGAGAGGGAGCCUGAGAAACGGCUACCACAUCCAAGGAAGGCAGCAGGCGCGCAAAUUACCCAAUCCCGACACGGGGAGGUAGUGACAAUAAAUAACAAUACAGGGCCUUUACGGGUCUUGUAAUUGGAAUGAGUACAAUUUAAAUCCCUUAACGAGGAACAAUUGGAGGGCAAGUCUGGUGCCAGCAGCCGCGGUAAUUCCAGCUCCAAUAGCGUAUAUUAAAGUUGUUGCAGUUAAAAAGCUCGUAGUUGAAUUUUGGCCUUGGGUGGUUUGGUUUGGCCUUCAUUGGUCAAUGCCUUUUCCGCCUAGGUCUUACCUUCUGGGUUAGCUARUGUCAUUUCGGUGGCGUUAGUGAACCAGAACUUUUACUUUGAAAAAAUUGGAGUGUUUAAAGCAGGCUUUCAAGCCUGAACAUAUUAGCAUGGAAUAAUGAAAUAGGACUUUGGCCUUAUUUCGUUGGUUUCUAAAGCCAAAGUAAUGAUGAAUAGGGAUAGUUGGGGACAUUAGUAUUCAAUUGUCAGAGGUGAAAUUCUUGGAUUUAUUGAAGACUAACUUCUGCGAAAGCAUUUGUCAAGGAUGUUUUCAUUAAUCAAGAACGAAAGUUAGGGGAUCGAAGACGAUCAGAUACCGUCGUAGUCUUAACCAUAAACUAUGCCGACUAAGGAUCGGAUGGUGUUAUAUUUUAUAUUGACCCAUUCGGCAUUUCAGCGAAAGCCAAGUUUUUGGGUUCCGGGGGGAGUAUGGUCGCAAGGCUGAAACU
rnacentral:rRNA from 1 species